rnacentral:rRNA from 1 species
UACGUAGGGCGCAAGCGUUGUCCGGAAUUAUUGGGCGUAAAGAGCUCGUAGGCGGCCAGUUGCGUCUGCUGUGAAAUCCCGGGGCUCAACCCCGGGCUUGCAGUGGAUACGGGCUGGCUGGAGGCAGGCAGGGGAGAACGGAAUUCCCGGUGUAGCGGUGAAAUGCGUAGAUAUCAGGAGGAACACCUGUGGCGAAAGCGGCUCACUGGACCACAACUGACGCUGAUGCACGAAAGCUAGGGGAGCAAACAGG